rnacentral:lncRNA from 1 species
UUAAGAAAAUCAAAGAGGAGAAAACACAUUUUCGAGAUAGGAAUCGGUAUCUAAUGAAUUCAAUGGUUCCAGUAUAAAUGAAAGAAAAAGAAAAAGAAAUGACAUCACAACGAGAUCCUAAUCUCAAAAAGAAAGAGGGAUAUGGCGAAAUCGGUAGACGCUACGGACUUAAUUUGAUUGAGCCUUUGUAUGGAAACUUACUAAGUGAUCACUUUCAAAUUCAGAGAAACCCUGGAAUUAACAAAAAUGGGCAAUCCUGAGCCAAAUCCUGUUUUCCGAAAACAAANNNNNNNNNNNNNNNNNNNNNNNNNNNNNNNNNNNNNNNNNNNNNNNNNNNNNNNNNNNNNNNNNNNNNNNNNNNNNNNNNNNNNNNNNNNNNNNNNNNNNNNNNNNNNNNNNNNNNNNNNNNNNNNNNNNNNNNNNNNNNNNNNNNNNNNNNNNNNNNNNNNNNNNNNNNNNNNNNNNNNNNNNNNNNNNNNNNNNNNNNNNNNNNNNNNNNNNNNNNNNNNNNNNNNNNNNNNNNNNNNNNNNNNNNNNNNNNNNNNNNNNNNNNNNNNNNNNNNNNNNNNNNNNNNNNNNNNNNNNNNNNNNNNNNNNNNNNNNNNNNNNNNNNNNNNNNNNNNNNNNNNNNNNNNNNNNNNNNNNNNNNNNNNNNNNNNNNNNNNNNNNNNNNNNNNNNNNNNNNNNNNNNNNNNNNNNNNNNNNNNNNNNNNNNNNNNNNNNNNNNNNNNNNNNNNNNNNNNNNNNNNNNNAUGGAAGCUAUUCUAACAAAUGGAGUUAAAUGCGUUGGUAGAGGAAUCUUUACAUCGAAACUUCAGAAAGAAAAAGAAUGAAGUGAAGGAUAAACGUAUGUACAUACGUAUUGAAUACUAUAUCAAAUGAUUAAUGAUGACCGACGCAUGUUUAAGAAUAUUCGACAUGUAUGAUUCGUUCACUCGUCGAGGCUCAUUAGUUUAGGUCGUGACAAUUAUGUUGUGAUUUGCAAUCAAAUUUAUUAUUCAUUAAUUUCUUUUUGGUAUUACUAUUUGGGCUUAGUGCAUUAAUCGCCAUUUUUAGGAUCCCAAUUUAAAGAAUGCCAAAAAAUUUUAAAUUUAGUCGUCUCAAAAUCAGCUUCAAACAUGUAUAUCUGAAGUUUUCAAAUUGAAACUUAUAAGUCUGAAGUUGGCUUCUGGCAGUUUAGAUUCACGCUUUAGGUCUGAAUUUGAAUUUUGGCUUUCAAUUUCAGACCUUCGGCUCUAAAUGAAGCUUUGGCAAAGCUAAACAGAUUUGAAGAAACAACAUGUCUUGUUUAAAAUUUGCUCAACUUUAAAAUACUUUCAAAGUUUUCACACACCGUAGGGAGAGUCAAACCAUCGUUUUUGCCACUUGGCACUUCAGUGGAAUUUUAAAUAUGGAACAUUAUAGUUCAAAGGGAUAAUAAUUAAUAACAAUAUAUCAUAAUUUAUGUAAUAAGUUACAAGAGGUGAAUAAUUCACAGGAUUUUUAUAUAUUAACCAUUUUUCUUUUUUACAUUGAAUAUUGAUUGACAAAGUAACUCCAUAAUCUGACGGCUCAUUGUACUCUUUACAUAAGGGUCGUUUGAUAUGCAGGAUAGGGUGAGAUAAGGGGUGUAAUUCUAAAUUUAUAUUAUAUUUGAUUGACGGUAUUAAUUUAUUUCAGGAUAAAGUUAUAUAAUCAGUCACAUAUAACAAUUAACUUUAAUCCCCAACUUAAUCCUAGAUGUCUUAUCCUAUCCCAUCAAACUUGAAAUUAUUUUAUCACAUUAGUUCAGGGAUUAUAAUCUCAAAGUUAUAAUCCUAAUAUAAUUUAGUAUGCAUACCAAAUGGUGCCGAUGGACAAAAUAAUAAACAAAUUCAUAACAAAUGUACGGUCAAACCUCUCUAUAACAACGUUAUUUGUUUCAAGAUGUUUUGGCUUUUAUAAUGAAUGGUUGUUAUAUACCUAUAACAGCAUUUGACGUUCAAAUAUUUGUUUCGCUGUUAUAGAUAAAAAUUAUCCAAAAAUCAAUUAUUUUUCUUUUUUUUUAACGGAGAAGGGUGAAUAAUAUCCCUGAACUAUUGAUAAAGGUCUAAAAAUACCCUCCAUCCACCUAUUGAUCUAAAAAUGCCUUUACAUUCACCUUUUUGGUUCAUUUAUGCUCUUUGAUUGUUAGGUCAAUGCUGAAAAAUAAUUAUUUAAUUAGACGUGGAAACUUCUUAUUGGUCGAAUUAAAACAUAUAACUUAUUAGAAAGACCACUCAUAUCUACCAUUUUUUCGGACUAACCUGCCCCGAAUAUGACCCGAAUAAAAAGUUCAAAUAAAAAAAUGCUCCAUUUCCAUCUGACCCAUGAAUUUACACGUGUUCCUUUUCUUGAUUAAUCUCAUGUAUAUCAUUAUCAUCGAAUAAAGGUUCAUGACCAAAUUAAACAAACAAGAAAAUCAUAGCAUGAACGAGCUAAUUAUUUUCUUGAUAAUAAUGUGGGAUGGAAAAGUAUGGGUAGUCUAACGGUUUAUGAUAUCAUCCAAACAAUCACUUUAAGAUCCUUCUGUUAUGUGAAAAUGAUUAAAUGAAACUCAACUUUGCUUAACCAAAAAAUAGAAUUUCAGUCAAAGCUUUAAUUUAGAAGAACUCGGGUUACUGAUAAUCAAAGAAUGGAAAAUGAUUUUGCCAAUAAUAAGAUAAUCAGAAAAAAGCCAAAGUAAACCAAUGUAUUCAAAUAAUAUUUCGCGUCCUACAAAUGAUUCAUCUCCUCCUUUUUAUAGUUAUUUCUAAGAUAUACGUUUUGCUUUUGUCAUAAUUGAGUUAUUAUGGACAAUUAAAAGCAUUAAAUGCUAUGUUACACAUUCAUUAUAACUUAAUAUAGAUUCUCUAACAUUUUCAAUAUUUAAUGCUCGUUAAAUAUUGUACCUGUACUUCCUUAUACUAUCAUGUUCAUUCUCCAGAAUUCUUGGAUUUGAAUAUAUACGAGUGUCGAGUCUACUCGUGCCUCUGCUCGUGCCAGUGCUCGUAUCUGUUGCAACUCGUGCAUAUUUGCUAAUCACCAUUCUUUGACCGACCUUCAUGUCAUGACGUGGAAUCCUUAAACACUUUGAUAUGUAUAAACUCAAUUUUUUCUAAUACAGAUGAUCCCUUCACUUGCCAUUUAUUCAUCGAUUGAAUAUCUGAGAAGUGGAUUUUAUUAAAGCUGGAUUUUUGCCGCCGUUAAUGUUUAUCAUAGAAUCGUUAUUUCAAUUGUCACUUCCAUUUAGUUCUUGUCACACGUGGCAUCUCUUUGUUGGUUCUAAGAUUUUGCAGUGCCUUUUAAGGCUUUUUUUACGGCUUCACCAAUUACGAAGCGACGGUUUUCAUUAUGACCUUUCCAUCAUUACGUCUUUUCCUUUGACGGUUGCUUCCUAGUAUAAACAUAGUUUUCGUUUUUGGUUUUGUCUCAUAAAGUUCAAAUUUUUAGAAUUAAAUUCCCAAUUUCAUCUUCCUCGUAAAACUUUCUAGAAUAUUCAGCUCUUGUUCUUCAUCUACCUCGUAUUUCCAUGGCUUCACCAAACCCUAACCCUAGGAGAGUUACCAUAGUUGAUAGUCUUCCUCUUUCCCCUAAUAGGAGUAUAAGGGGAGGAAGUAGACAACAAAAUUUAGGGUCUUUAUUUACACGUGGUUCUUCUCUUCCUACAUCCAGUUCUGGCCCUUCGUCUAGAACUAGAUGUUCUCUUUCACAUAGACCUUCUUUUAGAGGCAAGGAAUCCUCCGAGCCUCUCCAUGAACCUCUAAUAGAGGAGAUAGUUCCUACAGAACUUUCUAUAAUGAUAAACAGUCUCUUAGAAAUCAAUUAUCUUCUUUGGACCGUACUUAUAUCUAUUCAACUCAAAUUACUGAUUAUUUAAUUUCUUUGAUCCAUAGAGAUUGCCAUUGGGGUCAUGAUUUCCCUAUCAUAAUUCCUAAUGCGAAUUAGAGAAUCUCCUCUUAUUUAAUAGGAUUUUCUUUUGUUUACACAUACCCAUUAACAUUAGGUUUCAAACCUGCUAUUGACCCUGUUAUUCUCAAAUUCUUUCGAUUUUUUGAUGUUUGUUUAGGUCAAAUUAGUCCCAUAAUAUGGAGGGUUGUCACCUGUCUUAGAGAUUUGACUAACAUGGCUGGUAUGCUUUUCACAUUUGCCCAUUUUAUUCAUAUCUACUCAUCUAAACAUUUUUGCUAUGGAGUGUUUUACUUUAGUAGAGAGUUUUGGUUAGUCCUAAAGACGACAGUGACCAUAGAUGGUACGCCCGAUUUGUUGCUACCCCACUGUUAGUCUAGUAGGUGCAAAAAAUGUUCCCUUCCCUUGGAAAUGGAAUUUCUCCAUAAGUCUUCCGUCUUCCCUUUCUCUCAUCUCUUUUCCCUCGAUUUUAAUGAUCAGUAUUCUAAUUUUCUUUUUCUUUUGCAGCAACCCUGGGAGUUGUUAAUGAAAUUACCAAUUUUUGUGGUUGGGUAGGAAAGCUGUUAAAUGCUGUCCUAAUAUAGGGUAGAUAUUGGAAGUUUCUUUCACAACGAUUUGGUUGGAAAGUAAAAACUCAUGGUAAAAUUUUAUUUAUUUAUUUUUUAUUGUUGUUUGUUUCAUAUAUUGUUUUUCCCUCUUUUUCUUUUGCAGCAACCAUGGGAAUUGUUAAUGAAAUUCCUAAUUUUCGUGGUUGGAUAGGAAAGCUGUUAAAUACUGCCCCAAUAGAUGGUAGAUCUUUUAAGUCUCUUUCCCAACGAUUUGGUUGGAAAGUGAAAACUCAUGGUAAAAUUUUUUUUAUUGCCGUUUGUUUUAUGUAUUGUUAUUCCCUGAACUUAUUUUAAUCCUUCUUUUUAUCAGGAUUUAUAGUUCGAGGGAUUAGUGCAGAGGCAGUCAGCUUCUCGUAUUUCUUUGGAAAGGGCCAAGGAAAUAAUUGUGGGCUCUUCAUCGAAAAGAAAAUUUGUUGAUGACCAAGAUUUUGAAUAAGAGGAAGAUGAGGGUUACUUGGUAAUAAGGCCACGGGCUCGUAGACAUAUUAUCUCUAAUGAUGAAGUAUCUCCUCGCCGUUCUAUUCCUCUUACCGAAUCUGUUGAAGCCCGGGUGGUGAUUUCUGAUGAUGUUGAUGAUGAUGUCCCCACUACUGCUCACAAUUCUGUUGAGAAACUUUUUAGCCGCGGGUUUGAUAAUGACAAAUUUGAUCCGGUUUCUGAUGAAGCACCCCUGGCUUCUUUUACUACUUUUGUUCCUGUGAUUCCUUUUUUGCCUAUUGUGACUAUUACUGUUCCUCCACAAGCUGUUUUAACUGCUUCUACCGUUCCUCCCUAAACUACUCCUUCCUCAUAUGUCCCUUACCCCAAAGUUAGGUCAUCAAGCAGAGGUGAAGUUAUAAAGUAAGUCUCCGUUGAUGUUCCUGUUGAGGGUAACCUUUUAAGGAAAUCAGGUCAAGCUGAAGUGUGGCUAAAGCCUUUGAUUGGCCCAAUCGAGAAAGCUAAGCUUGAUAGCUAUAGAUCCUUGACCUUGAUUAACGAUAUCGUGCAUGCUUCUUUAAAGGUAUCCCUUUUCUAACUUUACUUUACCUUUUCUAUUUUCAGGGUUCUUACUCAUUUUCCCCCUUCCCCCUUUUUAGGUCAAUCUCACCGGCACGGAGAUGAUGAAAAGAGUUACCAUUUCAGAGGAAUUAGUUCGUAACUAUUGGGUGGAGGUGGAUAAUUGGAAGGAACGGUAUGAAGGUCUUCAAAUUGACAUACAAACGUUAGAAUAGAGUAAAGAUACCUUAGAGCAACAGGUAAGGGCUUUGACUUCAGAAUUGGCAGUUGAAAAAGCAUUUUCAAGUCAAGCAAGCAAAGAAAAGAUCGUCUCGAACCUUAUUUUCUGAACAACUUUGCAACGGAAUUGAAGAAAUCAGUGAAUUGAAGGCUCUUUUGGAUAAAAAAGGAGCAUAUGCUGGUGAACUUGUGCAAGAUUUGGCCCAAGCUCAAGAAGACCUUCGAGUAUCCUCUGAUAAAGUUUGCACCUUUGAAAAUUCUCAUGCUUCUCUUCAAGCUUCUUAUGAAUCUUUCUUGGCUGAAAAUGAGAAUUUAAGAAAUGAAAUUUCUGACUGGUAAAGAGACUACGAGAUUCUUGAAAAUAAAUCUACCAUUGAAAUGAGUUGGGCGUUCUUAAAUUCUCGCCAUGAUACCUUCGUUAAAGCUAGCCGGGAGAAUUUUGACUUAGAAUCUAAGUUAGGCAAGAUUAAAGAGACUAUUGAAAGAACUCAACAGAACCAAGUUCUUUCUCCUCCCGCGGAUGAAGCUAUUAAUAAUGUUGAAGAUGAUACAGGUAUCCUCACUCCUUCAAGUCAAGUUGAGCCUGCUGUUAUUGAUGUCCCUACUUCAAUCCCUUCAUCAAAUCAGUGAAAAGUUUAUACUGUUUGAAUUUUUUUGUGUUGUUUUUUUUCUUUUGAUGAAAAUGUGGUUAUAACCCUUGGUCUCUUUUGAGGAUUUUGUUUUGAAAUCUUAAGUCCCCAAACCUUUUAUGUAUAAACAAUUGUUGACUAAGUUCAUACUUAGUCUAAACUUUUUAACAUUAAGUUUUCGUUACUAUUUGAACUUAUGUUUCGUUUAUUCUUUCAUUUAUUUCUAAGGACUUACUGAAUAACUUGCAUUUUUAUUCUUCAAAAAUACUUCUGCUAAUUUCAUGAAUACUUACAUUAAUCAUGAAUUUUAUAAAAGAGGGCCUUUUUAUAUCCGACACUUAAUGAAGAAGACGUCUCAACUUCAUAACGGUGUUAAUAUACGAUAACAGAAAUAGGAAUACAUAUGUUUUUUGAAAUGACUUUGACACGUUUUUAUUUGAACUUUUUCUAGUUUUGAUUAACACUUUUACAUGUAUUUGGAUUAUAUCUGUAAUUUUCUCGUAACUGUUUUUCUUACAACAGAUUUUAAAGAGAAAAUGUACACAAGGUUUGUGCAUAUAACCCGUUUCAGUACAUUACAAAGUAAAUAAAUACAAAGUUUUUAUUUAUAACCUAUUUUAGUACUUUGACUUUACCUUGUAUAUGAUAUGGUUUUUAUUUGGUUUUAGCUCAUGACUUUGCUCUGCACUUGAUUCAUUCAAUGAGUGAACUUUUCAGGCUUGAUCUUUGAUUGUUUCUCAAUCUUCUUCUUUGCCUUCUUAAUAGACAAGUCUAUGUAUAUUAUAUAGUCCCAUAAGUGUUUGAGGUUGAAGUAUGAAUCCUUGAGCACUUGAUUUUCUCUCUUAUUUUGGUCCUUUUCCUGUAAAAGGAAAAACAUACAGGACUUGAAGGUGCGAUUUUAUAUGAAGACUGCUUAACCCGUAUCAAUUUCUAUCAGAAUAAUUGUAACGCUAGACCGAACUAUGUAUAUUAUAUAGUCCCCCAAGUGUUUGAGCAUUGAAGUAUGAAGCCUCGAGCACUUGAUUUUCCCUCUCAUUUUUGUCCUUUUCCUAUAAAAGGAAAAAUAUACGGGACUCGAGGUGCAAUUUUAGAUGAAGACUACUUAACCCGUAUCAAUUUCUAUCAGAAUAAUUGUAGCCUUAGACCAGGAAUUCUAAUCAAUUUCACAUGCCUUGCAGGUUGUGACUCUUCAUUUUGUGUGGGUUAGCUUUUUGCCUAUCAUCUAAACUUGUUAGUAUAAUUUUAACAACUCAAAACAAAAAAUUUUAAAUGAGGAUACCAACCCGUGGAUAUUCUUUAGAAAUAAUAUUUCUUUAAGUGAACAGAAUUCCAGUAUGAGGGUAGUAUCUUGCGCCAUCGUCUCUAAUUUGUAUGCUCAUUUCCACGCAAUACGAUGAAUCUUGUAAGAUCCUUCCAGAUCGGUCUUAAUUUACCUGCAUUAGCUGCCUUAGUAGAUUGAAAGAUUUUUUUGAGUACGAAGUCUCCAAUCUUGAAGAAUCUUAGAUGAGCUUUUCGAUUGUAUCAUUCUAUGACCUGCUUUUGUACUAUCAUUCUUAUUAACACGUCUUCUCUUCUUCCUUCAAGUAAAUCAAGAUUUAUCCGCAUUUCUUAAUUAUUAGACCCUUCUGACGUUUGGGUAAACCUUGUACUUGGCUCUCCUAUCUCAACUAAAAUUAAAACUUUAGUUCCAUAAACCAAUGAAAAUGGUGUUCCUCCCGUAUUCGUUUUUGUUGUUGUGCGGUAUGCCCAUAAAAUACCAGGUAACAAUUAUGGCCAAUUACCCUUUGAUUCCUCUAAACGUUUCUUUAAAUUACUUAUAAUGACUUGGUUUGUUGAUUCGCUUGUCCAUUACCCACCGGAUAAUAAGGUAUGGAUGUAAUUCUUUUGAUCUGCAAACUUUGAAAAAACUUCGUGAUUUGUGCGCCUAUAAAUUGAAGGUCAUUAUCACACAUGACUUCCUUUGGCACACUGAAUCGUCGUAUGAUGUUCCGCCAAAUAAAAUCUCUAACUUCUUUUUCUCGUACCUAUUUGAAUGCUCCUGCCUCCACCCAUUUAGUAAAAUAGUCAGUGAGUAUGAGCAAAAAUUUUACCUGUUCUUUUGCUUGUAGUAGUUGUUACACCUCCUUUUUUUACACACCUGAAUGUGGUAUAUAAGGGAGUUUUUCCAAUUUAAGUGACAUUAUUCGAAGUGGAAUUAUUUAUUUAUUAGAGUCGCCACCUGAAAUUUUUUAAUUGGUGUCCCAAGUUGCCGGUUUAUUUUCCCAAAAUCGAGAAAGAUUUCGACUUUCCUUUUGAAGUCUGCGAACCAGAAAUUCUGAAUAAGGAAUUCUGUUAACCCGGGGGAACGUGUUAGACACCCCCGGAUUUCGUGAUUCUAGCAAGGUUGCAUAACUAUUACAAAUGGUCUAUUAUCUGAUUUUAAUACAUGUCUUAGCCUAUAAUACAUUUUAACUUAUUAAAACCGCUUUUGAUUAUUUUUUAGGAAGAUACAACGUUAUUUAAAACACGCCUUGAACCACGUCACAUGAAAUACACCCGCGAUCCACGACACAUUUUAUUUAACGUUGUUGAGAAUUGGAGUUGGGUCACAUAAAAUAUACCCCCGAAUUUAAGGAAAUUAAUUAUUAAAAUAAUAUGCCUAAAACUACCGGCGCAUUUGGAUUAUUUUCCUGAUCUUUGAAAUUACUGCCAAGAAUUAUGGAGAUUAAUUGUGACAUAUGAGUAAACCUCAUACUGAUCUAAUCAUAAUCAAACAUCUUCCAAAAUCCAACAAAUCUCAAUCACGUCACAACAAAUAAACUAAAACAAUUGCUAACUAACACUAAAAUAACGCCACUAAAUAUUGCUAAAAAUAAAAAAUACAAAGAGAUCACAUGAAAUACUUUUGAUCAUUGAAACAAACAAACUUUCCAUGAAAUAGUUGGCCAUUAACUCCAUGUGUGUUCAAAUUUCUCAUUUAAUCGAGUAAUUAAAAUCAGAUAUCAAAUAAUAUGAAACACACAACAUCAUACUUUUAAAGAGAAAUCAACGAAAUAGCUUCGACUUGGAGAUAUGUAGCUAGAAUAUAUAAUUAGAACUGAAAGCUAUUUGUUGGAAAACACGCCAUAAUUCUUCUGCAAGAUAAAAGUAGAUUAUUUGUUUCACACAUAGAGGUAACUGAGACCAAAUCAAGCUUGCAUUUAAAGUUGAAGCAUUUUUCACAUAGGGAUGACUGGCUACAGCAGAACCUAGCAAUAUGAUAGCAAAAUAGCAUCCAUACUGUUUGAAACAAGAAUUCGUACCUUAACAGCAUGCAAACAGAAUUUGAAAAAAAAAAAAACCAAACAGUGUCUCAGCAAAGCAAGCUUAGCAAAGGGCGGCUUCAAUUCCCAGCCAAAGAAAACAGCUCGAAACCCUAGCGACGGCGAGGUAUUGCAACAGAAAUCAAAACAGCUCUUGUGACCUUCUUUUCUAUGAUUUUUCCAUUCGUGUUUUUUUUAGUUUUUUUUUUAUUUAUUCUUCUUGGGGCUAAAGGGCAGGGUCUGAUUUGGUUGUUGAGAAGAGAGUGUCGUUUCAAUUGUGAGGGAGUUGCUAGGGUUCAAUCGUCUAUUGUUUUGGAGAGAGAGAGAGUCUGGUUAUUUUCUCUUAUUUUUUUAAGUCAUAAAAUGAGGAAGAAGAAGAUGGGUGAGCUGAGGAUAAGAAGCUGCAGUGCUUUUAGGUGCUGAAGAAAUGGGUAUCUCCAUUUUCCUUUGUUCUCCUGCACCGCUUGGAUCUACUGAAAGAGUCUCUGCUUCCUUUUCAAAGGAAUAUAGGAUCCGAUGUGUGUCUUUUAGGUUUUCUAAAUAAAAUUUUAUAUGUAGGGGUAGAGUAAAAGUUAAUGAGUACGUAGGUAAGGAGAUUGAACUUAGUCUGGACAGAUUUUAAGUAUAGGAUUUGGCCCCAAUUCAAAUUAAACUCUUUUUCUAGUUUUCUUUCUUUUAUUUUCCAAUUUUUCCCUUUUUUAAUUAAAAUUUUACAAAUUAAAAAUUCUAAAUUAUUCAAAAGUGUAAAAUUAAACUAAUUAUAAAAAACUACUUAAUUCUAAAUUAAUAGAGAGAAAAAAAUCAAUAAAAGAAAAAGUGUAAAAAUGAACUAUUUUAGUGAUUUUCAAACUUAUAAAACAAAUACUUACAAGUUAAUUUUAAAAAUAUAAAAAUAAGUCCUAAAUGCAGUGUAUAAUAUUUUGCUUUUUUUUUCAUGAUUUAAAUAAAACUUAAACAUUCACAAGAAUGCGCACAAUUAAAUAAAAAACUACAAAAAAGUUUUAAAUGACAAAUAAUUAUG